rnacentral:rRNA from 1 species
GACGAACGCUGGCGGCGUGCCUAAUACAUGCAAGUCGAACGAGAGCAACCGGUGCUUGCACUGGUCAAUCUAGUGGCGAACGGGUGAGUAACACGUGGGUAACCUGCCCAUCAGAGGGGGAUAACAUCCGGAAACGGAUGCUAAAACCGCAUAGGUCUUCGAACCGCAUGGUUUGAAGAGGAAAAGAGGCGCAAGCUUCUGCUGAUGGAUGGACCCGCGGUGCAUUAGCUAGUUGGUGAGGUAACGGCUCACCAAGGCCGUGAUGCAUAGCCGACCUGAGAGGGUGAUCGGCCACAUUGGGACUGAGACACGGCCCAAACUCCUACGGGAGGCAGCAGUAGGGAAUCUUCCGCAAUGGACGCAAGCCUGACGGAGCAACGCCGCGUGAGUGAAGAAGGUUUUCGGAUCGUAAAACUCUGUUGUUAGAGAAGAACAAGUGCUAGAGUAACUGUUAGCGCCUUGACGGUAUCUAACCAGAAAGCCACGGCUAACUACGUG